rnacentral:lncRNA from 1 species
CUUUAAUGGAUUCUUAAAAUCAGAACAAAUCCAAAAGUAUGUAAGAUAGUUGUGUCUGGAUAUUGUCCACUGGCCCUUCACCUCAUAAUCCUGAAAACACUAUGCAUGAAUAACUUCUGCAAUACCUAGAUCUCAAGAUGUUUGUUAAGUAUAUUUUAAGCUUGUAGGUGAUGCAGUGAAGAGCUUCAUCUCCAGAGGAACGACAAUGGAAGAGAUGCAUACCACAUUUUCACCAGCAGAGCUGAACUCUGAUAUAGACUUCUGCAUUCAUGCAUCUAUACAAUUGCAAACAUUGAGGAUCUGUCCCACUGGCUCUUCAGAAGACAAGUAGCCAUUGUGUAAGAGUUUUCUACGUGAAGCAUUACAGAGCUCAUUCAUCUGCUUUGAAAAGAAGACUCCAAGAAGAAAGAAAAUUGACCAACAAAAAGUAAUACACAUCUUGCAUUUUAAAAAACAAUUCCCAGAAAUAAGACUCAAUUAAGCCAGCUGGAGACAGCCAAAGCACUGUGAGAGUGAAAACGAUAUUUAUAAUUAAUGUUCUAGAAGUACAUAAGUUUGAAGAACCAAACAAGUAAAUAGAGAUUAAGAGAAAAUUAU